CUAAACCCAAGGGAAUUUUUCAAACCAGCAGGGGUCAUUUGGUUACAAGGAACAAAAAUCCCUUCGAACUGGCUCAAAUAAAAAGGGGAAUGAGGCAUUGUAAAGAUAGGCCAAGGAAUCUGGCUGACAUCUCCAGGCAGAAAAUAAACACUGGGAAAAUGUAUUGGGAAACCGAAAGUCAGGAAUGAAACUCCCUCUCUCUCUCUCUCUCCCUCUCUCUCUCUCUGGGGCUCUCGGGGCCCAUAGCUCUUCUUUCUCUGCCCGUCUUCUGCAUUUCCUCCUCUGCAGUGUGAUUUUCUGUGCUGGCUCACUUUCCACUCCUCCUGAACUUUCUGUUUCUUACGGGGUUGCUUCGUUAGGUUGGCGACUAUGGCCUCAGUUCUACAAGAACCAACUGCAGCCUCCACUAUCCAAAUUUCAGUCUCAGCAUCUCUUAAUUUGAAUUCUCAAGAUCGGAACUACUAUAGACAUGUUCUAAUGGGCUCUGAUUAAAUUCUUCAGGCCAGCUUGUACUUGUUCCCAGGGCGACUGGGGAGGCAACAGAAGCUCACAAGACUUCUUGGAUCUAGGAUGAGAACUGUCAUAGCAUCACUUUGACUGUAUUCCAUGGGCUAAUGCCAGUCACAGAGCACUACCUUUUGAUGGGAGAAGCUGCAACGUCACGCUGCAUAGAGCAUGGAUGCAGACAAGGAUGGAGAUUUGGGCCACUUUUAUAAUUAAUCUGCUAUAUUAUGUCUUCCUAAAACUUUUUCAUAUUCAGAGACUAGCCCUUCUGAAUCAUUUCCCACUUAGAAUACAGUAUCUAGUGAAACCCCCCAAUUUGGUCCUCAGGGUUAUUAAGCACAUUCCGCAGAAGAGUUCUCCUCUGUUGUCCCUGUGAUUUUAUUCCAAGCCACUGAUAUGUGUUCUGCAAGUUUCAAUGCUGACCCUUUCUUGAUUUUGUCAGAAGGAGCAUAAAGAAAAUACCAACAUAAAUUAGUCACACCAAACUUUCUUUUACCUAUUCUUAGAAAUUUGGAGGUUUUUCUGACUCUGGUUGCAUUACUUGGCAUGUGUAGUGGGCUGCAUGGUGGCCCAAAGGAUAUGAGAUCUUAACCUCUGAAGACUGUAAACGUCACCUUAUUUGGAAAAAGGGUCUUUGCGGAUGUGAUUCAGUUAAAGGUGCUGAGAUGGAGAGAUCCUCCUGGAUUAUGUGCGUGAGCCCUAAAUGCCAUGCGAGAGUCUUGAUAAGAGAAAGGGGGAGGCAGAUUUGAAAAACAGAAGAGGAAAAGGUGAGGUGAAGACAGAGGCAGAGAUGGGAGUGAUGCAGCCCCCAGAGGCUGGAAGAGACAAGGAGUGGAUUUCGCCCUAGAACCUCCAGAGAGGGUGGUCCAUGCUGACGCCUUGACUUCCACCCAGUCCAACUGAUGUCGAACUGCUGGCCGCCAGCUAAGACAGAAUAAGUUUCUGUCAUGCUAAGGCCCCAGGGAACCACUGACCUGCUUUCUGUCUCUACAUAUGAGUUUGCAUUUCCUGGAAUUUUACUUAAAUGGAAUCAUACAGUGGGACACCUACCACAGCACAGCUUGCCAAGCGAUGCCAUAUCUGCACCUGGGAUCCG
rnacentral:lncRNA from 1 species